rnacentral:rRNA from 1 species
AUUGAACGCUGGCGGCAGGCCUAACACAUGCAAGUCGAACGAGUGGCGGACGGGUGAGUAAUGUCUGGGAAACUGCCUGAUGGAGGGGGAUAACUACUGGAAACGGUAGCUAAUACCGCAUAACCUCGGAUGUGCCCAGAUGGGAUUAGCUAGUAGGUGGGGUAACGGCUCACCUAGGCGACGAUCCCUAGCUGGUCUGAGAGGAUGCCCAGCACAACUGGAGAUGAGACACGGUUCAGACUCCUACGGGCGGCAGCAGUGGGGAAUAUUGCACAAUGGGGGCAAGCCUGAUGCAGCCAUGCCGCGUGUAUGAAGAAGGCCUUCGAGUUGUAAAGUACUUUCAGCGGGGAGGCGUUACCCGCAGCAGAAGCACCGGCUAACUCCGUGCCAGCAGCCGCGGUAAUUC